AUUGAACGCUGGCGGCAUGCCUUACACAUGCAAGUCGAACGGUAACAGGUUAAGCUGACGAGUGGCGAACGGGUGAGUAAUGUAUCGGAACGUGCCCAGUCGUGGGGGAUAACUGCUCGAAAGAGCAGCUAAUACCGCAUACGACCUGAGGGUGAAAGCGGGGGAUCGCAAGACCUCGCGCGAUUGGAGCGGCCGAUAUCAGAUUAGGUAGUUGGUGAGGUAAAGGCUCACCAAGCCGACGAUCUGUAGCUGGUCUGAGAGGACGACCAGCCACACUGGGACUGAGACACGGCCCAGACGCCUACGGGAGGCAGCAGUGGGGAAUUUUGGACAAUGGGCGCAAGCCUGAUCCAGCCAUGCCGCGUGCGGGAAGAAGGCCUUCGGGUUGUAAACCGCUUUUGUCAGGGAAGAAAAGGUUCUGGCUAAUACCUGGGACUCAUGACGGUACCUGAAGAAUAAGCACCGGCUAACUACGUG
rnacentral:rRNA from 1 species